rnacentral:rRNA from 1 species
UUUUAGAGUUUGAUCCUGGCUCAGGAUGAACGCUGGCGGCAUGCUUAAUACAUGCAAGUCGAACGGGGUGCUUGCACCCAGUGGCGAACGGGUGAGUAACACGUAUCUAAUCUACCUUUUAGUGGGGGAUAACAGUUGGAAACGACUGCUAAUACCGCAUACGACAUCAUUAUCGCAUGAGAAGAUGUUGAAAGGCCCGUUUGGGUCGCUAGAAGAUGAGGAUGCGGCGUAUUAGCUAGUAGGUGGGGUAAAGGCCCACCUAGGCGAUGAUACGUAGCCGAACUGAGAGGUUGAUCGGCCACAUUGGGACUGAGAUACGGCCCAGACUCCUACGGGAGGCAGCAGUAGGGAAUUUUUCACAAUGGGCGAAAGCCUGAUGAAGCAAUGCCGCGUGAGUGAUGACGGUCUUCCGAUUGUAAAGCUCUGUUGUAAGGGAAGAACAGCUAGAAGAGGAAAUGCUUUUAGUUUGACGGUACCUUACCAGAAAGCCACGGCUAA